AACUCUCAAAACCCCCGGUCUUUGUUUGAUCUCGGGAAGUUUUGGACUUUGGAUGUUUGCCGGCCUGUCUCAGGUUGGCUCGUCCCAAAUGCAUUAGCUGACCUUGCAACGGUCCGGCCGCCCGGUGUGAUAAGUAUCACUCGCCGAGGCUCAGGACUGCGAAGGGUUGCUUCCAACCGUCCGAUCCCGGACAAUCCUUUUCAAGC
rnacentral:misc_RNA from 1 species